rnacentral:pre_miRNA from 1 species
AAUAAGUGUAGUUUUAGACCGUUCAUGUUCAACGUUUGAUCGUUCGUCUUAUUUAAUUUUUUUAUAAUUAUUAUUAUUAUUAUUAUUAGACGAUAAAACAUGAAUAUAAAUUUAUAUGUGACUAAUUAUUUUUAAUUUUUUAAUAAAUUUUUAAAAUAAGAUGGACGGUUAAAUGUUAGACACGGAUACUCACGACUGUACUUAUU